UACGUAGGGUGCAAGCGUUGUCCGGAAUUAUUGGGCGUAAAGAGCUCGUAGGCGGUUUGUCGCGUCGGCUGUGAAAACUCGGGGCUCAACCCCGAGCCUGCAGUCGAUACGGGCAGACUAGAGUGCUGUAGGGGAGACUGGAAUUCCUGGUGUAGCGGUGAAAUGCGCAGAUAUCUGGAGGAACACCGGUGGCGAAGGCGGCAUCCUGGACCGGUAUUGACGCUGAUGCGCGAAAGCCAGGGGAGCAAACGGG
rnacentral:rRNA from 1 species